rnacentral:rRNA from 1 species
GGCGAACGCUGGCGGCGUGCUUAACACAUGCAAGUCGAACGGUAAGGCCCUUCGGGGUACACGAGUGGCGAACGGGUGAGUAACUCGUGGGUGAUCUGCCCUGCACUUCGGGAUAAGCCUGGGAAACUGGGUCUAAUACCGGAUAGGACCACUGCCUGCAUGGGUGGUGAUGGAAAGCUUGUGCGGUGUGGGAUGGGCCCGCGGCCUAUGAGCUUGUUGGUGGGGUGAGGGCCUACCAAGGCGACAACGGGUAGCCGGCCUGAGAGGGUGACCGGCCACACUGGGACUGAGAUGCGGCCCAGACUCCUACGGGGGGCAGCAGUGGGGAAUAUUGCACAAUGGGCGCAAGGCUGAUGCAGCGACGCCGCGUGAGGGAUGACGGCCUUCGGGUUGUAAACCUCUUUCAGCACCGACGAAGCGCAAGUGACGGUAGGUGCAGAAGAAGGACCGGCCAACUACGUGCCAGCCGCCGCAGUAA